CGCGUGAACAACCUACCUUCAAAUGGGGGAUACACCUCUAACGGGGUGCUAAUACCGCAUGUAGUGUUAACAAUUCCUGUUGAUAGCACUAAAGAUGGCCUCUUAUAUAAGCUGUCGUUUGAAGAGGGGUUCGCGUCCCUAUUAGUUAGUUGGUGAGGUAAUGGCUCACCAAGGCGGCGAUGGGUAGCCGGUCUGAGAGGAUGGUCGGUCACACUGGGACUGAGAUACGGCCCAGACUCCUACGGGAGGCAGCAGUCUAGGAGCUUGUACUAAUGCGCGAAAGCGUGAUACAGCGACGCCGCGUGAGUGAUGAAGCCCUUCGGGGUGUAAAGCUCUGUUCUAUGGGAAGAAAAGGGAUUUGUGAAUAGCAGGUUCUGUUGACGGUACCAUAGGAGGAAGUCACGGCUAACUCCGUGCCAGCAAGCCGCGGUAAUACGGAGGUGGCGAACGUUGUUCGGAAUCACUGGGUGUAAAGGGUGUGUAGGCGGGCUAGUAAGUCAGAUGUGAAAUCUUGCGGCUCAACCGUAAGCGUGCAUUUGAAACUGUUAGUCUUGAGUACAGAAGAGGAAGGUAGAAUUCUUGGUGUAGCGGUGGAAUGCGUAGAUAUCAAGAAGAAUACCGGUGGCGAAGGCGACCUUCUGGUCUGAUACUGACGCUAAGGCACGAAAGUGUGGGGAGCGAACAGGAUUAGAUACCCUGGUAGUCCAACACUGUAAACGAUGGGGUACUGGGUGUUGGGGAAGUACUGACCCUUCCAGUGCCGCAGUUAACGCAUUAAGUACCCCACCUGGGGAGUACGGUCGCAAGGCUGAAACUCAAAGGAAUUGACGGGGCCCCGCACAAGCGGUGGAGCAUGUGGUUUAAUUCGAUGCAACACGAAGAACCUUACCAGGGCUUGACAUAUACACGAAUGAUAUAGAGAUAUAUCAGCCUUUCGGGGCGUGUAUACAGGUGUUGCAUGGCUGUCGUCAGCUCGUGUCGUGAGAUGUUGGGUUAAGUCCCGUAACGAGCGCAACCCUUGUCCUUAGUUGCCAUCAGGUAAAGCUGGGGACUCUAAGGAGACUGCCGAGGUAGAAACUUGGAGGAAGGUGGGGAUGACGUCAAGUCAUCACGGCCCUUACGUCCUGGGCUACACACGUGCUACAAUGGUCGGUACAAAGGGUAGCGAGACUGUGAAGNUGGAGCUAAUCCCAAAAAGCCGCCUCAGUUCGGAUUGGAGUCUGCACUGACUCCAUGAAGUUGGAUCGCUAGAAUCGCUGAUCAGCAGGCAGCGGGAUACGUUCCCGGG
rnacentral:rRNA from 1 species